GAUUGAUGUUCGUAUUCGUGGCGUGUUUACAAUAAUCCGAUAAAGAAUUUUCCGUGUUUUAAUACAAAAUUGUGUGGUGGAAAUCAUGGAUACCCGGAAAAUUCUUAACUACCAAGAUGGUAAUUUCCUCAUUUGUGAAUUGGUGAGUGAUUUUUUGUCUUUUUAUUUGAUUUUAAAUUCACUACCUAAAAUAUUUCUUCUCAUUUGGUCUCAGAUUAUGGAGUGAAAACUAUUUUCUUUUAUAUAUCGGUAAUAUGCGGCCAUUCUUUUGGAACUUUGAAAUACAUAAUUAGCUAAAGGGUUGUUACUAAACUAAUAAUUGAGUUUUCUGUUUCAUAGAAGACUUUCCAAGUGAGUCUUCGCUUCUACUUAUAGGUUCAUCCAAUUCCUUACUUGAUGACUCCUGAGUGUGUAUUUCCUGAUUUUGAAUAUCAGAUGACAUCCCAUUACUGGUAGGAGCAGUGCUAUUACUGGCUGACCGGCCCUCCAUGUCUGCAACUUCAACAUCGGAAGGUGUUUGUGCGCGAUUCGACGCGAAAUUUUAACCCGUUAACGAAACGAAAAAUAUAUAGUGUGCGAAUCGAUAAAGCGGUUUGCCAAAAGGAAGGUGAUUGUUGAAUAAAUAACAAUAAAACAUAUUUCUUCAAUUUUUGUAACAAAUAUGUAUUUUAAAUUACAAAUAUAUGUGUUUCUAAAAUGGAAAUGCUGCUGCAUGAGGAAUAUAUGAAUACAUGUAAAAUUCUAUUUUC